GACGAACGCUGGCGGCGUGCCUAAUACAUGCAAGUAGAACGCUGAAGGAGGGGCUUGCUUCGCUGGAUGAGUGGCGAACGGGUGAGUAACGCGUAGGUAACCUGCCUGCUAGCGGGGGAUAACGAUUGGAAACGAGAGCUAAUACCGCAUAAGAGUAGAUGUUGCAUGAGAGGUGCGUAAAAAGGGCAAUUGCAGCACGACCAGAUGGAGCUGCGUUGUAUUAGCUAGGUGGUGGGGUAACGGCCCACCAAGGCGACGAGAGCUAGGCGAGCUGGGCGGGGGGUGGGCCUCACCGGGCCUGUGGCGCGGGCCAGACUCCUCCGGGAGGCAGCAGUAGGGGAUCUUCGGAAAUGGGCGGAAGUCUCGCCGAGCAACGCCGCGUGCGUGGCGUAGGUUUUCGGGUCGUACAGCUCUGUUGUCUCUGAAGCACGAGUGUGAGCGGCAACAGUUCACGUUGUGACGGUAGCUGACCAGGAAGCGCCGGCUAACUACGUG
rnacentral:rRNA from 1 species